GACGAACGCUGGCGGCGUGCUUAACACAUGCAAGUCGAACGGAAAGGCCCUGCUUUUGUGGGGUGCUCGAGUGGCGAACGGGUGAGUAACACGUGAGUAACCUGCCCUUGACUUUGGGAUAACUUCAGGAAACUGGGGCUAAUACCGGAUAGGAGCUCCUGCUGCAUGGUGGGGGUUGGAAAGUUUCGGCGGUUGGGGAUGGACUCGCGGCUUAUCAGCUUGUUGGUGGGGUAGUGGCUUACCAAGGCUUUGACGGGUAGCCGGCCUGAGAGGGUGACCGGCCACAUUGGGACUGAGAUACGGACCAGACUCCUACGGGAGGCAGCAGUGGGGAAUAUUGCACAAUGGGCGGAAGCCUGAUGCAGCAACGCCGCGUGCGGGAUGACCGCCUUCGGGUUGUAAACCGCUUUCGCCUGUGACGAAGCGUGAGUGACGGUAAUGGGUAAAGAAGCACCGGCUAACUACGUG
rnacentral:rRNA from 1 species